AAAUUGAAGAGUUUGAUCAUGGCUCAGAUUGAACGCUGGCGGCAGGCCUAACACAUGCAAGUCGAACGGUAACAGGAAGCAGCUUGCUGCUUCGCUGACGAGUGGCGGACGGGUGAGUAAUGUCUGGGAAACUGCCUGAUGGAGGGGGAUAACUACUGGAAACGGUGGCUAAUACCGCAUAACGUCGCAAGACCAAAGAGGGGGACCUUCGGGCCUCUUGCCAUCAGAUGUGCCCAGAUGGGAUUAGCUAGUUGGUGAGGUAACGGCUCACCAAGGCGACGAUCCCUAGCUGGUCUGAGAGGAUGACCAGCCACACUGGAACUGAGACACGGUCCAGACUCCUACGGGAGGCAGCAGUGGGGAAUAUUGCACAAUGGGCGCAAGCCUGAUGCAGCCAUGCCGCGUGUAUGAAGAAGGCCUUCGGGUUGUAAAGUACUUUCAGCGGGGAGGAAGGUGUUGUGGUUAAUAACCGCAGCAAUUGACGUUACCCGCAGAAGAAGCACCGGCUAACUCCGUGCCAGCAGCCGCGGUAAUACGGAGGGUGCAAGCGUUAAUCGGAAUUACUGGGCGUAAAGCGCACGCAGGCGGUCUGUCAAGUCGGAUGUGAAAUCCCCGGGCUCAACCUGGGAACUGCAUUCGAAACUGGCAGGCUUGAGUCUUGUGGAGGGGGGUAGAAUUCCAGGUGUAGCGGUGAAAUGCGUAGAGAUCUGGAGGAAUACCGGUGGCGAAGGCGGCCCCCUGGACAAAGACUGACGCUCAGGUGCGAAAGCGUGGGGAGCAAACAGGAUUAGAUACCCUGGUAGUCCACGCCGUAAACGAUGUCUACUUGGAGGUUGUGCCCUUGAGGCGUGGCUUCCGGAGCUAACGCGUUAAGUAGACCGCCUGGGGAGUACGGCCGCAAGGUUAAAACUCAAAUGAAUUGACGGGGGCCCGCACAAGCGGUGGAGCAUGUGGUUUAAUUCGAUGCAACGCGAAGAACCUUACCUGGUCUUGACAUCCACAGAACUUUCCAGAGAUGGAUUGGUGCCUUCGGGAACUGUGAGACAGGUGCUGCAUGGCUGUCGUCAGCUCGUGUUGUGAAAUGUUGGGUUAAGUCCCGCAACGAGCGCAACCCUUAUCCUUUGUUGCCAGCGGUUAGGCCGGGAACUCAAAGGAGACUGCCAGUGAUAAACUGGAGGAAGGUGGGGAUGACGUCAAGUCAUCAUGGCCCUUACGACCAGGGCUACACACGUGCUACAAUGGCGCAUACAAAGAGAAGCGACCUCGCGAGAGCAAGCGGACCUCAUAAAGUGCGUCGUAGUCCGGAUUGGAGUCUGCAACUCGACUCCAUGAAGUCGGAAUCGCUAGUAAUCGUGGAUCAGAAUGCCACGGUGAAUACGUUCCCGGGCCUUGUACACACCGCCCGUCACACCAUGGGAGUGGGUUGCAAAAGAAGUAGGUAGCUUAACCUUCGGGAGGGCGCUUACCACUUUGUGAUUCAUGACUGGGGUGAAGUCGUAACAAGGUAACCGUAGGGGAACCUGCGGUUGGAUCACCUCCUUA
rnacentral:rRNA from 1 species